GCUUACGGCCAUACCAGCCUGGGUACGCCCGAUCUCGUCUGAUCUCGGAAGCUAAGCAGGGUCGGGCCUGGUUAGUACUUGGAUGGGAGACCGCCUGGGAAAACCAAGUGCUGUAAGCA
rnacentral:rRNA from 1 species